rnacentral:lncRNA from 1 species
UCCUAACGUGUUUCCGCUGUUUACUUCUAGCAGUUUCAUAGGUUCAGGGUUGAGUGGACUCAGGAGGAUGCUGUCCAGUCCGGGAUGUGGAGAGGCAGGGGCUGUGGGGCCCCGGGGCCAGAUGGAGUGAUGCGGACCCCCACCGCCAGAUGGCACUGUGCUGGGGGUGGAGAGGAACAAAGCCGGUUCCCUCUGGAACGAGGCUGGCAUCUCCCUGCCCUGGGCUCGGAGACUGUGAGGGCCAAGAGGCACUCCUGCAGCCAACUUGUAGAUGUCCCUGGUGGGAGCGUGGACUGCAGGGGACCUCUCACUUACCUUUCCCCACAAUGGGUAGUCCUUGUUGCCCCGAGUCAGUCCCGUCCCGUUGUUUUGCUUCCCGCUCUCGGCCGCCACCUUGAGUCUCCACGCCUCGGCGCCUCAGCGCUCUCCUGGCGCCUCAGCGCUCUCCUGGCGCCUCAGCGCUCUCCUGGCGCCUCAGCGCCGCCUGCCUCCCUCCUCGCUGAACGCCAACAGUGCUCUUCCUCAGAUGCUCGAUUUGACUGGCGUGAGAUGCAGGAAAAAUCUCCUAAUAUAUUCAGAAUUGAUGUCUAAUCCCCCAUAAAAUACAUCGUUUCCAACAUAAAAAUCAGUGAUGCAAACGCACUUCACGCGCAGCACCCACGUGCACCGUACCACACAACGCUGUGACAACACUAACACGAAGCUGAUGCUGAUUGCUCAACAGUGAGGGAUCCCUGCCCAGCAGCGGCCAGCACCAUGGAGCCGGUAGGUUAACUCAUCAACUUGUAAGCAUGGUAAAAUCUCAGGCCCUUCAGAGUUCUUGACAAGAACCACACCCCAGGGAGCAGUAGAACUGUGUAGAUAGAACCUGGACCACCUAAGCUUAUUUUUCUGGUGAGUAAAAUAUAGUCAAGAUAGUGAACAUGUUAGUCAUGGCAACUCCAAGGAACACUGAAAUUCUGUUUGCCAAUGUGUGUAGUCAGAGACGAAAACAAAAUGGAGUGACCAAUUUAGAGGACUUCCAGUUGUGUCCUGGUCAUUACUGAUGCCUUCUAGUCCUGAUUGCUUUUUAAGCUGUAGAUUAUUGUUGGAAUUAAAGCUGCCUUGCGGGAAGAUAUUUAGCUAUUUGAACUACUUGGGGUUGUUGUUGACUAUUUAAAAUAAGUGUUUCUGAGUAUCAGUGAUCCGUUUUGAGCUACAGACAUAGAUUCUUUUUAUACCAGGAAACUGUCUUUGUUAUUUCUAUGAUGUUUUAUAAAAAUUUCUUUGGGAAUAAAACUGACCCAGGUUCAGCCGGGCACAGUGGCUCACGCCUGUAAUCCCAGCACUUUGGGAGGCCGAGGCGGAUGAAUCAUGAGGUCAGGAGAUCGAGACCAUCCUGGCUAACAUGGUGAAACCCCGUCUCUACUAAAAAUACAAAAAAUUAGCCAGGCGUAGUGGCAGGCACCUGUAGUCCCAGCUACUAGGGAGGCUGAGGCAGGAGAAUGGCGUGAACCCGGGAGGCGGAGCUUGCAGUGAGCAGAGAUUGCACCACUUCACUCCAGCCUGGGCGACAGAGCCAGACUCCGUCUCAAAAAACAAAAACAACAAAAAACAAAAAACCGACCCAGGUUCUAGACUGUUCUUUCACCUUUUUAUGGGCUGUAUUCUAAUCAGCGCCCUUUGCUUUUUAUUCUAGACUUGCGUCUCAUGCUUGUAAUCACCAGAACUUAUAUACUUUGCUAAAUUGGUGGCUUUGCUUGUUAAUCCUUCUUACACUGAUUUCCAUACUGUUACUUCAAAUUUUGAUUUCUUACCAAGCUCUAUUUUUAAUUUUGCCUGAAUCUUACUCAGCUAAGUCCUUUUAUCUCAGCCCAUUGACAUUUUUCUUAUUUCACAAAUACAUGUUUUCUUGAAUGUUACUGAAAAUACAAUAUAGAAGCUUUCUCAAGUUUUUAAAAAAUUCCUCCAACAGUAAAUCUGUUUGUUGAUAUAAAGCCAUAAAAAUGAUACAAUUGACUCUGGGGACUUGGGGGUAAGAGUGGGAAGGAGGCGCGGGAUCAAAGACUACACUUAGGGUGCAGUGUAUACUGCUUGGGUGACGAGUGCACCAAAAUCUCACAAAUCACCACUAAAGAGCUUACUCAUGUACCCAAUUACCAUCUGUACCCCAAUAACUUAGGGAAAAUAAAAUAAAAAAUAAACAUUUAUAAAAAGAAAUAAAAUAAAAUAAAAUAAAAAUAUAGCAAGGUUCAUAUUCUUUUUUCUUCACACUGUAGACUCUUUUCAUCAUUCCGAUGUUGGGAAUUUUUGUCACAGCUUUGAACAAAAGAAUUCAAUAAAGGCCAAGUAUUUUCAAA